rnacentral:tRNA from 1 species
GGUGAUAUAGCUCAGUGGUAGAGCACCUGCCUGGCAAGCAUGAAGCCAUGAGUUUGAUUCGCAAUACCUCCC